GACGUAGGGGGCCAGCGUUGUUCGGAAUUACUGGGGUGUAAAGGGUUCGUAGGCGGUGUGGCAAGUCGGGAGUGAAAUCUCUGGGCUCAACCCAGAGACUGCUUCCGAAACUGCUGUGCUUGAGUGUGAGAGAGGCUCGUGGAAUUGCAGGUGUAGCGGUGAAAUGCGUAGAUAUCUGCAGGAACACCCGUGGCGAAAGCGGCGAGCUGGAUCACUACUGACGCUGAGGAACGAAAGCUAGGGGAGCAAACAGG
rnacentral:rRNA from 1 species